CCUGAACAUGGAUUUUCUGCCUUGAUGUCACUGUGCCCAAAGCUAAAUCCUCUCUCUUCCCUUGCAAACCAGCUGCCUCUCCACUUCCCUCGUCUUUGCCAGUGGCACCAUUAAUUACAUACUGCCUUAGCCUCUGGGGUAAAACAUGUAAACUUACGAGAUGUCGCUCUUGUCCUUGCUUUGGCUAUCUAGUCACUAGGCUCUGAAUAGCCUUUCUUGUAAAUGUGUCUCAUGUCUAUUCCUUAGUCUCAUUGCCCUGCCUCCCACUACCCGAGUCUCAUCCUUGUUCUUUCAUUCCUGAAUACGUAAAUAGCUUUCUAGUUCAUGUCCCCAUCUUUUGCCUCAGUUUCCCCAGGCAGGCCAGGUAUGCUAGCUCUCACCAUCCACUCACCCUCUAU